GUCGAGGUGGCGGAACUGGCAGACGCGCCAGCCUUAGGAGCUGGUGGGGUUAUACCCGUGGAGGUUCGACUCCUCUCCUCGACA
rnacentral:tRNA from 1 species